GACGAACGCUGGCGGCGUGCUUAACACAUGCAAGUCGAACGGAAAGGCCCUGCUUUUGUGGGGUGCUCGAGUGGCGAACGGGUGAGUAACACGUGAGUAACCUGCCCUUGACUUUGGGAUAACUUCAGGAAACUGGGGCUAAUAUCGGAUAGGAGCUCCUGCUGCAUGGUGGGGGUUGGAAAGUUUCGGCGGUUGGGGAUGGACUCGCGGCUUAUCAGCUUGUUGGUGGGGUAGUGGCUUACCAAGGCUUUGACGGGUAGCCGGCCUGAGAGGGUGACCGGCCACAUUGGGACUGAGAUACGGCCCAGACUCCUACGGGAGGCAGCAGUGGGGAAUAUUGCACAAUGGGCGGAAGCCUGAUGCAGCAACGCCGCGUGCGGGAUGAAGGCCUUCGGGUUGUAAACCGCUUUCGCCUGUGACGAAGCGUGAGUGACGGUAAUGGGUAAAGAAGCACCGGCUAACUACGUG
rnacentral:rRNA from 1 species